rnacentral:rRNA from 1 species
CUGGAUACGAACAAGAAUCGCAUGGUUACUUGUUGGAAAGAUUUUUUGGUUGGGGAUGGGCUCGCGGCCUAUCAGCUUGUUGGUGAGGUAAUGGCUCACCAAGGCGUCGACGGGUAGCCGGCCUGAGAGGGUGACCGGCCACACUGGGACUGAGACACGGCCCAGACUCCUACGGGAGGCAGCAGUGGGGAAUAUUGCACAAUGGGCGGAAGCCUGAUGCAGCAACGCCGCGUGAGGGAUGACGGCCUUCGGGUUGUAAACCUCUUUUAGCAGGGAAGAAGCGAGAGUGACGGUACCUGCAGAAAAAGCGCCGGCUAACUACGUGCCAGCAGCCGCGGUAAUACGUAGGGCGCAAGCGUUAUCCGGAAUUAUUGGGCGUAAAGAGCUCGUAGGCGGUUUGUCGCGUCUGCUGUGAAAUCCCGAGGCUCAACCUCGGGCCUGCAGUGGGUACGGGCAGACUAGAGUGCGGUAGGGGAGAUUGGAAUUCCUGGUGUAGCGGUGGAAUGCGCAGAUAUCAGGAGGAACACCGAUGGCGAAGGCAGAUCUCUGGGCCGUAACUGACGCUGAGGAGCGAAAGGGUGGGGAGCAAACAGGCUUAGAUACCCUGGUAGUCCACCCCGUAAACGUUGGGAACUAGUUG